rnacentral:lncRNA from 1 species
UCCAGUAACUGCUCGUUUGCGGCAAAAAGGAAGCAUGGCAAGUGUUAGUGCGGCAUAUGGGAACUUUCACUUUAAGAUGAUGGUCGAACUGUGGUGAUUCCUAAUCUGGGGGCAGGAAAAGAUCAUUUUUAAGUGUUGGAUUCGUGUAAAAGAUUUUGUAAAAUAGGUUUAAGCGGAAGUACUUACGGCGUGACUUAAUAGUGUUGGUAGACCUAGGGUAGCUUUCAUUGAAGAAACACUGGCGUAGCGGUUGUAAUUAGAAAGCACAAAACGAGCUGCACGGUUCUGAACGGACUCAAGGGUGUAGUUAAUACGGAGCUAAAUGGAUCCAAAAUAGAACAAGCGUAUUCCAGUUUGGAUCUAACGAGUGUUGUGUACAAUUUAAGUUUUAAAUCUGAAGGAACGGAUGAAAAAUGACGGCAGAGAAAUCCAAGCAUGCGAUUAGCGUUAUUAAUUACAUGUUCAACGCGCAUAUUCCAAGAGAGGUUGUGGGUUAUAUGCACGUCAAGGUAACGGUAACUAGUAACGGGGAUUAAAGAGGAGUUUUUAAGCGUACAGGAAAAAUUGUCAUUAACUUUAUUGUGGUACAUUACUCUCAUAACUUUACACUUACUAAUGUUUAAUUUCAUGAGCCACUUGUCGCACCAGUUAGAAACAGCGUCAAUAUCGGACUGCAAAGUAGAAACGUAAUGUGGGUUAUGAAUGACACGAUACAGCACGCAAUCAUCAGCAAAAAGCCUAAUGGUAGAAUUAAUUCUGACAGGCAAAUCAUUAAUAUAAAUAAGAAAAAAAAACAAAACAUGUCGGUCGCC